CCUGGUGUAUUGAUUGGGUGCUUGCAUCAUGAUUUACAUUUGAGUGAGUGGCGAACUGGUGAGUAACACGUGGGAAACCUGCCCAGAAGCGGGGGAUAACACCUGGAAACAGAUGCUAAUACCGCAUAACAACUUGGACCGCAUGGUCCGAGUUUGAAAGAUGGCUUCGGCUAUCACUUUUGGAUGGUCCCGCGGCGUAUUAGCUAGAUGGUGAGGUAACGGCUCACCAUGGCAAUGAUACGUAGCCGACCUGAGAGGGUAAUCGGCCACAUUGGGACUGAGACACGGCCCAAACUCCUACGGGAGGCAGCAGUAGGGAAUCUUCCACAAUGGACGAAAGUCUGAUGGAGCAACGCCGCGUGAGUGAAGAAGGGUUUCGGCUCGUAAAACUCUGUUGUUAAAGAAGAACAUAUCUGAGAGUAACUGUUCAGGUAUUGACGGUAUUUAACCAGAAAGCCACGGCUAACUACGUGCCAGCAGCCGCGGUAAUACGUAGGUGGCAAGCGUUGUCCGGAUUUAUUGGGCGUAAAGCGAGCGCAGGCGGUUUUUUAAGUCUGAUGUGAAAGCCUUCGGCUCAACCGAAGAAGUGCAUCGGAAACUGGGAAACUUGAGUGCAGAAGAGGACAGUGGAACUCCAUGUGUAGCGGUGAAAUGCGUAGAUAUAUGGAAGAACACCAGUGGCGAAGGCGGCUGUCUGGUCUGUAACUGACGCUGAGGCUCGAAAGUAUGGGUAGCAAACAGGAUUAGAUACCCUGGUAGUCCAUACCGUAAACGAUGAAUGCUAAGUGUUGGAGGGUUUCCGCCCUUCAGUGCUGCAGCUAACGCAUUAAGCAUUCCGCCUGGGGAGUACGGCCGCAAGGCUGAAACUCAAAGGAAUUGACGGGGGCCCGCACAAGCGGUGGAGCAUGUGGUUUAAUUCGAAGCUACGCGAAGAACCUUACCAGGUCUUGACAUACUAUGCAAAUCUAAGAGAUUAGACGUUCCCUUCGGGGACAUGGAUACAGGUGGUGCAUGGUUGUCGUCAGCUCGUGUCGUGAGAUGUUGGGUUAAGUCCCGCAACGAGCGCAACCCUUAUUAUCAGUUGCCAGCAUUAAGUUGGGCACUCUGGUGAGACUGCCGGUGACAAACCGGAGGAAGGUGGGGAUGACGUCAAAUCAUCAUGCCCCUUAUGACCUGGGCUACACACGUGCUACAAUGGAUGGUACAACGAGUUGCGAACUCGCGAGAGUAAGCUAAUCUCUUAAAGCCAUUCUCAGUUCGGAUUGUAGGCUGCAACUCGCCUACAUGAAGUCGGAAUCGCUAGUAAUCGCGGAUCAGCAUGCCGCGGUGAAUACGUUCCCGGGCCUUGUACACACCGCCCGUCACACCAUGAGAGUUUGUAACACCCAAAGUCGGUGGGGCAACCUUUUAGGAACACAGGUAACCGGAAAGAGGUACGA
rnacentral:rRNA from 1 species